UGAUGAGAGUCAUCUGUGGAGCAGCGCAUCGCCCUCACAUACUCUUCUCACAAUUUAUAGUACAGAAAUGUCACUGUCAAUUACUGUUAGUUAUUUAUUUGUGAACAACAUUUCUUUGAAACAUUUGCGGUAAUCCUCAAAGAAGCAAACAGCAGAGUGAAGAUGAUGGUGAGCUGGUAGACAGCGUGGCCCAGGAUGUUCUUCAUCAUGGUGCGGGAGAUCAGAGGCUUGUUGCGGCCGUACGGCUUCCUCAGCAGCAGGGCUUCCGUGGGCGGCUCAGUGGCCAGAGCCAGAGAGGCAAACGUGUCCAUGAUGAGGUUGACCCACAGCAUCUGGACGGCCUUCAGUGGGGAAUCCUACAGGAGGAGAGAGACUGCAGUGAGUAGGCCAGUGAGAUGGUGACGGCUAGUGGGAGUCCUUCAGGCACGGCCACCACCAGCACAGUGACGCCGAUGAUGAAGAACUUGACCACAAACUGAAUAUAGAUGGGAGUGCAGUCUUUGAUCCACGGCAGGCCCUGGACCCAGAAGGUUGGCUUUCUUUUUCUCCUCGGCUUCUGCUCCAUCGUCACUGUUGAGGGGCUGCAUCUCAACACCAUCCUUACCUGUGGAGGAACACCAUCCUUAAAUAUGGAGAAGUGCACAUGCAUCUCAACACCAUCCUAACCUAUAGAGUGCACAUGCAUCUCAACACCAUCCUUACCUAUAGAGAAGUGCACAUGCAUCUCAACACCAUCCUUACCUAUAGAGAAGUGCACAUGCAACACCAUCCUAACCUAUAGAGGAGUGCACAUGCAACACCAUCCUAACCUAUAGAGGAGUGCACAUGCAACACCAUCCUAACCUAUAGAGGAGUGCACAUGCAACACCAUCCUAACCUAUAGAGGAGUGCACAUGCAUCUCAACACCAUCCUUACCUAUAGAGAAGUGCACAUGCAACACCAUCCUAACCUAUAGAGAAGUGCACAUGCAACACCAUCCUAACCUAUAGAGUGCACAUGCAUCUCAACACCAUCCUUACCUAUAGAGAAGUGCACAUGCAACACAACACCACUCUUACCUAUAGAGAAGUGCACAUGCAACACAACACCACUCUUACCUAUAGAGUGCACAUGCAACACUUUGACCUCUGGUUUCACUCUUCCUCUCACAUCAGGUACUUUCACAUGAUUGUCCCUUCCGGGUUGUAUUCCAUUAUGUAUAUAAUGCUUUGAAAUGAUUAUAUUUACAAUGCAGUGGACUGCUGGUGGGUGGAGUAAGGUCUGCUGGAGAUGAUAUCAGUAGUGGACUGCAGGAGAUGAUAUUAGUAGUGGACUGCUGGAGAUUAUAUCAGUAGUGGUUUGCUGGAGAUGAUAUCCGUAGUGGUCUGCUGGUGGGUGGAGUAAGGUCUGCUGGUGAUGAUAUCAGUAGUGGUCUGCUGGUGAUGAUAUCAGUAGUGGUCUGCUGGUGGGUGGAGUAAGGUCUGCUGGAGAUGAUAUCAGUAGUGGUCUGCUGGAAAUGAUAUCAGUAGUGGUCUGUAAUCCUGGUUGGAGGAUUAUCUCUCACGGCAGACUCAUUGCAAGGCAAAAACAAGCGCCAGCAUAAAUGAAUAAGCCACAAUCAUAAGACACACCUGCACUAUUGUUAGAGCUGCAGGCCCCGUACGUAUUGUUUGGGUAUAUGUACGUGUGUGUGUGUGUGUGUGUUUGUGU